GCUCGACUGGUGUAAGUUGACAUAGCGGUCAAACACGUCGUGUUCCUUGAAAGGGGCACGAGGUCUCGGUUCGAAUCCGAGGUCGAGCG